rnacentral:rRNA from 1 species
CCCCUACGGGGGCAGCAGUGAGGAAUAUUGGUCAAUGGGCGGAAGCCUGAACCAGCCAAGCCGCGUGAAGGAAGAAGGCGCCAGGCGUCGUAAACUUCUUUUGUCGGGGAACAAAGGGCGCCACGCGUGGCGUUGUGAGUGUACCCGAAGAAAAAGCAUCGGCUAACUCCGUGCCAGCAGCCGCGGUAAUACGGAGGAUGCGAGCGUUAUCCGGAUUUAUUGGGUUUAAAGGGUGCGCAGGCGGAAGAUCAAGUCAGCGGUAAAAUUGAGAGGCUCAACCUCUUCGAGCCGUUGAAACUGGUUUU